UACGGGGGGAGCAAGCGUUGUUCGGAUUUACUGGGCGUAAAGGGCGCGUAGGCGGCGCAACAAGUCACUUGUGAAAUCUCCGGGCUUAACCCGGAGCGGUCAAGUGAUACUGUCGUGCUAGAGUGCGGAAGGGGCAACUGGAAUUCUCGGUGUAGCGGUGAAAUGCGUAGAUAUCGAGAGGAACACCUGCGGCGAAGGCGGGUUGCUGGGCCGACACUGACGCUGAGGCGCGAAAGCCAGGGGAGCGAACGGG
rnacentral:rRNA from 1 species